GUGAGGAAUAUUGGACAAUGGGCGCAAGCCUGAUCCAGCCAUGCCGCGUGCAGGAAGACGCAUCUAUGGUGUGUAAACUGCUUUUGUACGGGAAGAAACACUCCCUCGUGAGGGAGCUUGACGGUACCGUAAGAAUAAGGAUCGGCUAACUCCGUGCCAGCAGCCGCGGUAAUACGGAGGAUCCAAGCGUUAUCCGGAAUCAUUGGGUUUAACGGGUCCGUAGGCGGUUUAAUAAGUCAGUGGUGAAAGCCCAUCGCUCAACGAUGGAACGGCCAUUGAUACUGUUAGACUUGAAUUACAAGGAAGUAACUAGAAUAUGUAGUGUAGCGGUGAAAUGCUUAGAUAUUACAUGGAAUACCAAUUGCGAAGGCAGGUUACUACUUGUGGAUUGACGCUGAUGGACGAAAGCGUGGGGAGCGAACAGGAUUAGAAACCCGUGUAGUCC
rnacentral:rRNA from 1 species